AAAGCGAAUUGAUGUUUGGACGCAGGAUUGAAGAAAAUGAGCAAAAAUUGAAAAGGUUCCUUGAGGUCGCAUCAAAAGUACUAAAAUUUACUGAGCCAUCAUACGUCUCUUUAGACACGUACCUGCGACCCAGGUUUGCGAAGCGUGCUCUCAUGGCUACGCCAUCUCCAAGUGAUUAUAUUGGACCGUGCAUAGUCUGGGGGGAAAGGAGACUCCUCAUUUGUGGCAGAGAGAAGGAAACCAUUGAAAUGAGUAAAGACACGUCUCUAGAGAAGGCACUUGUGAUGUGCCUUUGCAUUUACUAUAAAAGACCUCACAUAUCCAGCUGUGUAUGGCCAACUGCUUGGAUUCGUCCAAUCGAUCAUUAAGCCGGGCUGCAGCAAGGAAAUGUCAUGGGCCAACACAAGAUUGAGAAGUUUGUUCACUUCGUUGAAGAUAUAAGAGAGAGAAUAAACGUUUAUUAACUGUU